GUAAGCCUGGGACCUGCUCACUCACCUUCAAGAAAGCAGGAGGGGCAGGAGGGAUGGGUAAAUCCCUGGACAACUUUCAGGAAGACAGUUCUGGUCUGUAGCAAUUAACACAUGGUCAUCCUCAGAAAAAGGUCCUCUCAAUUAUUUCCCAGAGAUACCCAUAACUUAAAAUGCAGGAACCAAGAGAUUUGAGCCUAGACAUUUGGAUGAAAAGCGAUUUCCACCUGGAGAAAGUCACUGCCCUUCUGUGCAGAGUACCAUUGUGUCUUGAAUCCAGCUUGGCCAUAAGGAAAUGGGGCGAGACUUUGUCAUGUAUGUCGCUGAAGUUCAGCUAUGCAAAAAUGUUCACCUAUCCUUGAUCAACCAGUCCAGGAACCAUCAAAGAAGAAAAUGAGAUUCGACUUAGAAGACCUGUUCUUUAUAAACCCCUGCACAGCCCUAAUGAUCAACACCACUUCCAGUGCUCAUAAAUUACUGCUUCAAUAAUUGUUCUGCAAUUCUGCCUAUUCUCAUUGAAUGCUUCGUAUAAUCCCUUUAUUUACUUUGGGCUACGAUUCAUUUUUAUCAGUCAAAUGACUACUAGACUAUCCUGGUUUCUAAUUUGAAAUGUAUCCAAAGAAGAUUCCUGUCUCACCCUCUGCAAUCCACUUGCAUGUCUGACCACACUCGGUGCCUACACAAUCUUCACUUUGUCUAGCCUAAAUUCUUCUAACUGUGGCCUAAGGCCUUGGAAGAAUGAUGCCUCUGUGGGGUAAGAACUGCCUUCGUGGCAUAAGAAAGGCAGACCUGGGUGAUCUGGAAGGGCUGUUGCAAGGGGAUAGGAGUGCUGAGGCCUUUUCCAUUAAGAAUACACAGGACUAUGGAGACUCUUGUUUUACUAGAAACUUCUUCACAGAUACCUUAAAUUAGGAAGAAAAUGCCUUUGGUUCUUGGUUCUACUAUUGGCUUCAAAUUCUUAGGCAUGCCAGACCCUACUGAACAUCUUGACACAUGUCCUUUCUUCUCUGAACUGGCGCACAGGCAUGGUGAGUAACU
rnacentral:lncRNA from 1 species